CAAUAUUUACUGCCACCUUUUGAUCCACCUGAUCCCAUACUCCAUCAAAGUCAAGCUAUUGACUAUAAACAAGCGCUUAGUGGGAAGCAACCCACUGAUAUUAUUUUCUUUUUCUUUUCCUUUUUUUUU
rnacentral:sRNA from 1 species